rnacentral:rRNA from 1 species
CGACGUGGGUAACCUGCCUUGUACUGGGGGAUAGCAGCUGGAAACGGCUGGUAAUACCGCAUAAGCGCACAAUGUUGCAUGACAUGGUGUGAAAAACUCCGGUGGCAUAAGAUGGACCCGCGUCUGAUUAGCUAGUUGGUGAGAUAACAGCCCACCAAGGCGACGAUCAGUAGCCGACCUGAGAGGGUGACCGGCCACAUUGGGACUGAGACACGGCCCAG